rnacentral:rRNA from 1 species
AUGAGUUGCCUGGUGUGGAACUGCCGCGGGGCUGGCAAACCCGCGACUGUUCGAGAGCUUCGAGAUCUCUCGAGGCAACAUGCCCCCUCUAUUGUAUGCAUCCUAGAAACCCACAUAGAGGGCUCACGUGUUGAGAGUAUGGUAGGAUCUUUAGGCUUUGAAAAGAGUUUUGCCAUAAGCAGUAGAGGUAGAAGUGGUGGUCUUGGUAUUUCCUGGAAUGAAGCAAUAAAGUUAGAAAUUCUUGGUUAUUCA